ensembl:snRNA U6 U6 spliceosomal RNA
GUGCUCGCUUCAGCAGCACAUGUACUAAAAUUGGAGUGACACAGAGAAGAUUAGCAUGGCGCCUGCACAAGGAUGACACGCAAUUCAUUCUAUGUUUUU